CUACUGUAGAAAAAGUGAAGGUUCCGGACUUCAUUAAUAAGAGCAGCAAAACUUCCUUAAUCGACCAAGCAUCGCCACUCGCACCAGAUUGAGGUUUAAGAUGAGUGUGUCAAUUUGGCAGAGGGUGGGUGGUCCAAAGCUGAAGGCCGAAAUUAGCCAAGCAUUUGCAUAUUCACGUGGUGCAUUAAUGCUUUGCAGCUCGUUUUGGAACACAGUGAAAUCGUGAUUUCGUGUUCGUCGUUGACAGGCGAUCGGGUGAAGUUGAAAGGAAAACUUCAUUUUCGAGGAUCGUUUAUGGAUUUCCCGCCAAAUCUUCUAUACAAAAUCACAAGAAACCGAGAAAGACUCGAGGAAGAGAUGACAACACCUUGUACUUCCCAAGCCAUGUCCAUGGCCAUUCAGUUAGAACACCAGGCAAUUAAAAUCGCCAUGUUCAAGUGGUGCUGAUGAUUCACAAGUCACAACGCCCCGCGGGAUUAUACUCUGGUGUGCCAAACCAAACACACAUAAAAUUUAUGACAGAAGGUUGACAAGGAAAGCAGACAGCAUAUAUUAAUGAGGAUGUGCUGUCGACGGCUGAGCUCCAACAGAAAUUAAUGUUAGUGGUACGCGUAACUACUCAUAUUCCAAAUAUAGAAAUCCCAUUAAAUAAGAUGAAUGCACCACAGCCUAUAUUCCACUAUUGGUUUAUUAUUUACAUUGUCUACAUUUUGCCACAAAAAACUUGGAAAGCAUUUCAUUUUUA